GGCCUACCAUGGUGGUAACGGGUAACGGGGUGUUAGGGCACGACACCGGAGAGGGAGCCUGAGAAACGGCUACCACAUCCAAGGAUGGCAGCAGGCGCGCAAAUUACCCAAUCCCGACACGGGGAGGUAGUGACAAUAAAUAACAAUACGGGGUUCUUUCGGAUUUCGUAAUUGGAAUGAGUACGAUUUAAAUCUCUUAACGAGGAACAAUUGGAGGGCAAGUCUGGUGCCAGCAGCCGCGGUAAUUCCAGCUCCAAUAGCGUAUAUUAAAGUUGCUGCAGUUAAAAAGCUCGUAGUUGAAUUUCGGGACCAUCAUGUCGGUCGUGCCUCGGUACGUACUGGCAUUGUUGGUUUCUCCCUUCUGACGAACCAUGAUGUCAUCUAUUUGGUGUUGUGGGGAAUCAGGACUGUUACUUUGAAAAAAUUAGAGUGUUUAAAGCAGGCUCACGCUUGAAUACAUUAGCAUGGAAUAAUGAAAUAGGACGUUUGAUUCUAUUUUGUUGGUUUCUAGGAUCGACGUAAUGAUUAAUAGGGAUAGUUGGGGGCAUUAGUAUUCAAUUGUCAGAGGUGAAAUUCUUGGAUUUAUUGAAGACUAACUACUGCGAAACCAUUACCCAAGGAUGUUUUCAUUAAUCAAGAACGAAAGUUAGGGGAUCGAAGACGAUCAGAUCCCGUCGUAGUCUUAACCAUAAACUAUGCCGACUAGGGAUCGGAUGAUGUUAAUUUUUUAAUGACUCAUUCGGCGCCUUACG
rnacentral:rRNA from 1 species